AGUGGACGCUGGCGGUAGGCCUAACACAUGCAAGUCGAACGGCAGCACAGGAGAGCUUGCUCUCUGGGUGGCGAGUGGCGGACGGGUGAGGAAUACAUCGGAAUCUACUCUGUCGUGGGGGAUAACGUAGGGAAACUUACGCUAACACCGCAUACGACCUACGGGUGAAAGCAGGGGACCUUCGGGCCUUGCGCGAUUGAAUGAGCCGAUGUCGGAUUAGCUAGUUGGCGGGGUAAAGGCCCACCAAGGCGACGGUCCGUAGCUGGUCUGAGAGGAUGAUCAGCCACACUGGAACUGAGACACGGUCCAGACUCCUACGGGAGGCAGCAGUGGGGAAUAUUGGACAAUGGGCGCAAGCCUGAUCCAGCCAUACCGCGUGGGUGAAGAAGGCCUUCGGGUUGUAAAGCCCUUUUGUUGGGAAAGAAAUCCAGCUGGCUAAUACCCGGUUGGGAUGACGGUACCCGAAGAAUAAGCACCGGCUAACUUCGUGCCAGCCGCCGCGGUAA
rnacentral:rRNA from 1 species